rnacentral:rRNA from 1 species
AAUAUUGGACAAUGGGCGCAAGCCUGAUCCAGCGACGCCGCGUGAGUGAUGAAGGCCUUCGGGUUGUAAAGCUCUGUUGAGGGGAAAGAAAACGGCUGGCGUGAAUAACUCCAGUCCUUGACGGUACCCCUUUAGAAAGCACCGGCUAACUCUGUGCCAGCAGCCGCGGUAAUACAGAGGGUGCGAGCGUUAAUCGGAAUUACUGGGCGUAAAGCGCACGUAGGUGGCUUUGCAAGUCGAUUGUGAAAUCCCCGGGCUUAACCUGGGAACUGCAGUCGAGACUGCUUUGCUUGAGUAUGGGAGAGGGAGGUGGAAUUUCCGGUGUAGCGGUGAAAUGCGUAGAUAUCGGAAGGAACAUCAGUGGCGAAGGCGACCUCCUGGACCAAUACUGACACUCAAGUGCGAAAGCGUGGGGAGCAAAC